GGUUAAACAAAAGCGCCAGAGCUUGACCUUACGGAUCGGGAUAUAGGUAACGGGCAAGCUGACGAGGUGAAGGUGUUCGGAUUUUUCGGCGGGGACCUUCCGGUGUGGCACCAGACCGUAACUUCAAAGCGGAAAACGGGCGGGCAACGGCCCGGACAACGCCUGAAGCGGUGCGCC
rnacentral:ncRNA from 1 species